rnacentral:ncRNA from 1 species
UGAUAGCUGUGAAGCGUGAGGUUGCUGCCGAAGCAAAAACAUAAGCCAGGCAGGUUUUCCGUGGAGCGAAUGUCAAGUUAGGAAACUGGCGACAA